rnacentral:rRNA from 1 species
UACGAAGGGGACUAGCGUUGUUCGGAAUUACUGGGCGUAAAGCGCACGUAGGCGGAUUUGUAAGUCAGGGGUGAAAUCCCGGGGCUCAACCUCGGAACUGCCUUUGAUACUGCAAAUCUCGAGUCCGAUAGAGGUGGGUGGAAUUCCUAGUGUAGAGGUGAAAUUCGUAGAUAUUAGGAAGAACACCGGUGGCGAAGGCGGCCCACUGGAUCGGUACUGACGCUGAGGUGCGAAAGCGUGGGGAGCAAACGGG